rnacentral:rRNA from 1 species
CACACGCAAGCUCGAACGGCAGCGCGGGCUUCGGCCUGGCGGCGAGUGGCGAACGGGUGAGUAAUAUAUCGGAACGUACCCAGAAGUGGGGGAUAACGUAGCGAAAGUUACGCUAAUACCGCAUACGAUCUACGGAUGAAAGCAGGGGACCUUCGGGCCUUGUGCUUUUGGAGCGGCCGAUAUCUGAUUAGCUAGUUGGUGAGGUAAGAGCUCACCAAGGCGACGAUCAGUAGCUGGUCUGAGAGGACGACCAGCUACACUGGAACUGAGACACGGUCCAGACUCCUACGGGAGGCAGCAGUGGGGAAUUUUGGACAAUGGGGGCAACCCUGAUCCAGCAAUGCCGCGUGAGUGAAGAAGGCCUUCGGGUUGUAAAGCUCUUUUGUCAGGGAAGAAAAGGCGGUGGCUAAUAUCCAUCGCUGCUGACGGUACCUGAAGAAUAAGCACCGGCUAACUACGUGCCAGCAGCCGCGGUAAUACGUAGGGUGCAAGCGUUAAUCGGAAUUACUGGGCGUAAAGCGUGCGCAGGCGGUUUCGUAAGUCUGAUGUGAAAUCCCCGGGCUCAACCUGGGAAUUGCAUUGGAGACUGCGAGGCUAGAAUCUGGCAGAAGGCGGUUUCGUAAGUCUGAUGUGAAAUCCCCGGGCUCAACCUGGGAAUUGCAUUGGAGACUGCGAGGCUAGAAUCUGGCAGAGGGGGGUAGAAUUCCACGUGUAGCAGUGAAAUGCGUAGAGAUGUGGAGGAACACCGAUGGCGAAGGCAGCCCCCUGGGUCAAGAUUGACGCUCAUGCACGAAAGCGUGGGGAGCAAACAGGAUUAGAUACCCUGGUAGUCCACGCCCUAAACGAUGUCUACUAGUUGUCGGGUUUUAAUUAACUUGGUAACGCAGCUAACGCGUGAAGUAGACCGCCUGGGGAGUACGGUCGCAAGAUUAAAACUCAAAGGAAUUGACGGGGACCCGCACAAGCGGUGGAUGAUGUGGAUUAAUUCGAUGCAACGCGAAAAACCUUACCUACCCUUGACAUGUCAGGAAGUCCGGAGAGAUCUGGAUGUGCCCGAUACCUACCCUUGACAUGUCAGGAAGUCCGGAGAGAUCUGGAUGUGCCCGAAAGGGAGCCUGAACACAGGUGCUGCAUGGCUGUCGUCAGCUCGUGUCGUGAGAUGUUGGGUUAAGUCCCGCAACGAGCGCAACCCUUGUCAUUAGUUGCUACGCAAGAGCACUCUAAUGAGACUGCCGGUGACAAACCGGAGGAAGGUGGGGAUGACGUCAAGUCCUCAUGGCCCUUAUGGGUAGGGCUUCACACGUCAUACAAUGGUACAUACAGAGGGCCGCCAACCCGCGAGGGGGAGCUAAUCCCAGAAAGUGUAUCGUAGUCCGGAUCGUAGUCUGCAACUCGACUACGUGAAGUUGGAAUCGCUAGUAAUCGCGGAUCAGCAUGCCGCGGUGAAUACGUUCCCGGGUCUUGUACACACCGCCCGUCACACCAUGGGAGCGGGUUUUACCAGAAGUAGGUAGCUUAACCGCAAGGAGGGCGCUUACCACGGUAGGAUUCGUGACUGGGGUGAAGUCGUAACAAGGUAGCCGCAUCU